rnacentral:rRNA from 1 species
UACGAGGGGGGGCGAGCGUUGUUCGGAAUUAUUGGGCGUAAAGGGUGCGUAGGCGGCCUGACAAGUCUGAUGUGAAAUCCCUGGGCUCAACCCAGGGCCUGCAUCGGAAACUGUCGGGCUUGAGUAUGGGAGAGGUGAGUGGAAUUUCCGGUGUAGCGGUGAAAAUGCGUAGAUAUCGGAAGGAACACCUGUGGCGAAAAGCGGCUCAC